UAUCUGCAGGCCCAAAGAUGUUACUAAAAUCGGCAAAUGCAAACGGCCCAGGCCAGCAUCCUGGGGACUGCCUGGCUGGGUUCAAGCUGGCCAAAUACAGGCGCCCUGCGUGCAGGUCCAGCCCUGCAAAGCCCUCAGCCCAUUAGGGUCAACCUUAUGGCUUGGCUUCUGGUGGCUCCCGGGGCCCCACCUGCUGCAUACCCGAUCCCCAAGCUGGGUGCUGCACCAGGACACUGGGUACACGGAGGUGAGGUUGCCCAAGCUGCUGGGCAGAGGCCGCCAAGGAGUCUGUCCCCGGCUGCCCCUGCUGGCCAGGGAGCCCUCCAGUGCCUGCCCCUUCCUCUCCCUCUCUCCCUGCUCUGCCCAGGGCAGGUAGGACAGGCACUCACGGAGAGGGCAGGGCUUCUCAGCAGGACCUGUCCUGGCGGCUGUUCCCUGAGCCCUACCGUGUGCCUCUCAGCGCCAGGGACGAAGACGAAGGAUUCUGUCAGGAUGUUCCUGACAGAGGGGAGGUGGCGGCCAUGGGACAGAGACCUAGCGAGGGGCCCCUCAGGGUGAGGACCCGGACCCACAGAUCAUCAAGGGCUCCUGAUUGCCUGGGCAGGCUGCUGCAGGCUGGGGGCUGGGAGCCCUUCACGGUGAGGGGUGGGAACUGUCCGCCCAUGGGAUCCUGGCAACAGGUGGGGCCGCAGCUAGUGGGGUGGGCUUCUCGGAGAGCCCAGAGGCCGCAGGCCGAUUCAUCUCCCAACCUAUCCUCAGAUCAGGUAACCGUCCCUGGCAGGAAAGAAGGGCUUCCCACAGCAGCGGUCUUUCUCAAAAAGAACCUAGAAAAGAGAGGAAAGUGCGGGCGGCAGACCUGAGGGCGCUUCCCUGCAGUUGCAGGACACCCACUGGGCCAGGAGGCCCUGACCACACCCCACUGGCACUCUGGUGAGCCCCUAGCGCCCAGCACCUCUCAAGCGCCAUGCAAGGGCCUUCAUUCCAGCUCCUGGCUUGGUGCUGAUACAAACGCUUGGCUAGAGCUAAAGACACACGCAUCCCAUUUAUAAGUGUGGAACCCUGCUACAACACCCAACAAAAACUCCUGCUCAGAAGGGCGGUCCGUUUCAGGGCCCUGGUUCCAAGUGCAGGGCCCGGACAGGAGGUCUCGGCCCAUCAGGUGGGGGGAACUGGGGGUGCUCCUGGAGGCCUGCGCACCAUCCGGUCCCCCUGGACCACUCGGCAGUGAGGACCAGGCUGGCACACCUCUGUGAUGCUGGCUGCAGCGGAUGCCACCUCCUAGGCAGAUGGCAUGCUGGGGCCUCUGAGCUUAAGGCCACUGGCUGCUCAUGACCAUGGGUCCCACGAUCACAGGCUGUGCCUGGAGCUGGGCCGCUGGGCUCUGCAGCCGGCACCAUCAGUGCCCAGAUCAGGGCUGACGCAGGCAAGCAAAGCCUGGGACUUAGGAGCCGCGGAGGGACAGCUGCCUCUGCAGUGGCCAGACCGUGCAGUCCCUGGGUGCACACAAAACCUUUCUGCUGCUCUUUGUGCACCUGCAGACGGAGUCCAGAGAGGGCCCAAGGUGCACCCAGGAGCCACUUGAGCCCUUCUGAGGGGCAGCUAGGGGCCUCCUCCUCACCUGGCCAUGGUCUGCCCAAACACAGGCAUGCAGCUCGCUGGCAGCUAUGUGGGCCAGGUGGGCAGCACUGCCCUCUCUCCUUCCCGGCCUGGGUGACCACCUAGCUACCGCCCACAAGCCUGGCACCCAGGUUGGGCAGGCUCAGAGCCUCAGGCAGCACCAGCCUGGCAGGGCCCUGCUUGUGAGCACCGCCCAGGCUCCACUCCAUCUGCCUGCCCCUCCCGAGCCCACAGUUCUGCCAAGCAGCAGGUCUGUGGCGCAGCACUGGGGGAGAGGUCCAGGUGGAAAACGGCACAAGGCAGGCACUGACAUCCCAGGCCUCCUGGGCAUGCCAGAAGCACAGCGCUCUGAAGGGGCUGCCUAUGUGGUCUAAGCUGGAAAUGAUAUUAGGAAAUCCGACAAUAAAACAGUCAUGGUUUUAAACUAAAUUAUUUUGUGUACUGGUGUCAAUUCCUCAUCAACCUUAGUGAGAAAAAUGGACAAAACUAUUGGUGGCCCACGGGAAGUGCCCCCAAAGCUGCCCAGGGAGGUGGUGGCAGCGGCUCUGAGCAAGCAGACAGACUGGAGCCUCAAGUGCCCAGUACACGCCCCCAGCCGGGCAGCAGGGAAGAGCGGUGCAGGUGAGUCGGGCCGCGCUCGCUCCCCUUCAGGGGCAGGGGCACGAUGGCACGUACCGACGGAAGGCGGCUGCCAACGAUGCUGACAGUGAGGAGAACACGCGCAGGCUGGGUGGCAGAGUGCCUCUCCAGACAGGCAGAGAGCAGUUCGCCUGCUGUCAAAUCUCUUCGGCCUCCUGUGAUUUACCCUGGUACCUGUGGGUCUGGGACUCUGACACGGAUGCGCGCUGGGGCCUCGGGCUGGGGUUGUGGCCUUGUGGCUCACUUAACC